rnacentral:lncRNA from 1 species
ACGGAUGCAAUUGACAACCCUAUUAGCAUGAUCAUCCUAAUACAAGCAGGUGCGAUAGACUAUACCAAGUAAGAUCACGUUACCUUCUCUAAAUAUAUGUGAAAUAAUAAAAUUCAAAGAGCCUAAUUUAGAGAGAGCAUUGAGCCAUUUAUUCUCGAUCUGCCGCCAAGGGACAAUGUGAGAGACUUGAUAGCCAAUGAAGCAAGCUUUGAAUCAGUUUCAAUCCACAAGUUAUUCUAAUGCUUAUCCACAACAAAUUCAAUUGCUAAAAUUACACUUAUGAUUUCUGCAUAUAGAGCAUUA